rnacentral:rRNA from 1 species
UACGUAGGGUGCAAGCGUUGUCCGGAAUUAUUGGGCGUAAAGAGCCCGUAGGCGGCUUGUCGCGUCGGCUGUGAAAACCUGGGGCUCAACCCCGGGCCUGCAGCCGAUACGGGCAAGCUAGAAUUCGGUAGGGGAGACUGGAAUUCCUGGUGUAGCGGUGAAAUGCGUAGAUAUUGGGAGGAACACCAGUGGCGAAGGCGGCUCACUGGACCGGAACUGACGCUGAGGCGCGAAAGCGUGGGGAGCAAACAGG